rnacentral:rRNA from 1 species
UUUAAAUUUAGAGUUUGAUCCUGGCUCAGGACGAACGCUGGCGGCGUGCUUAACACAUGCAAGUCGAGCGAUGAAGCUUCCUUCGGGAAGUGGAUUAGCGGCGGACGGGUGAGUAACACGUGGGUAACCUGCCUCAAAGUGGGGGAUAGCCUUCCGAAAGGAAGAUUAAUACCGCAUAAUAUAAGAGAAUCGCAUGAUUUUUUUAUCAAAGAUUUAUUGCUUUGAGAUGGACCCGCGGCGCAUUAGCUAGUUGGUAAGGUAACGGCUUACCAAGGCAACGAUGCGUAGCCGACCUGAGAGGGUGAUCGGCCACAUUGGAACUGAGACACGGUCCAGACUCCUACGGGAGGCAGCAGUGGGGAAUAUUGCGCAAUGGGGGAAACCCUGACGCAGCAACGCCGCGUGGGUGAUGAAGGUCUUCGGAUUGUAAAGCCCUGUUUUCUAGGACGAUAAUGACGGUACUAGAGGAGGAAGCCACGGCUAACUACGUGCCAGCAGCCGCGGUAAUACGUAGGUGGCGAGCGUUGUCCGGAUUUACUGGGCGUAAAGGGUGCGUAGGCGGAUGUUUAAGUGGGAUGUGAAAUCCCCGGGCUUAACCUGGGGGCUGCAUUCCAAACUGGAUAUCUAGAGUGCAGGAGAGGAAAGCGGAAUUCCUAGUGUAGCGGUGAAAUGCGUAGAGAUUAGGAAGAACACCAGUGGCGAAGGCGGCUUUCUGGACUGUAACUGACGCUGAGGCACGAAAGCGUGGGUAGCAAACAGGAUUAGAUACCCUGGUAGUCCACGCCGUAAACGAUGGAUACUAGGUGUAGGGGGUAUCAACUCCCCCUGUGCCGCAGUUAACACAAUAAGUAUCCCGCCUGGGGAGUACGGUCGCAAGAUUAAAACUCAAAGGAAUUGACGGGGGCCCGCACAAGCAGCGGAGCAUGUGGUUUAAUUCGAAGCAACGCGAAGAACCUUACCUGGACUUGACAUCCCUUGCAUAGCCUAGAGAUAGGUGAAGCCCUUCGGGGCAAGGAGACAGGUGGUGCAUGGUUGUCGUCAGCUCGUGUCGUGAGAUGUUAGGUUAAGUCCUGCAACGAGCGCAACCCUUGUUAUUAGUUGCUACCAUUAAGUUGAGCACUCUAAUGAGACUGCCUGGGUAACCAGGAGGAAGGUGGGGAUGACGUCAAAUCAUCAUGCCCCUUAUGUCCAGGGCUACACACGUGCUACAAUGGUAGGUACAAUAAGACGCAAGACCGUGAGGUGGAGCAAAACUUAUAAAACCUAUCUCAGUUCGGAUUGUAGGCUGCAACUCGCCUACAUGAAGCUGGAGUUGCUAGUAAUCGCGAAUCAGAAUGUCGCGGUGAAUACGUUCCCGGGCCUUGUACACACCGCCCGUCACACCAUGAGAGCUGGUAACACCCGAAGUCCGUGAGGUAACCGUAAGGAGCCAGCGGCCGAAGGUGGGAUUAGUGAUUGGGGUGAAGUCGUAACAAGGUAGCCGUAGGAGAACCUGCGGCUGGAUCACCUCCUUUCUA